rnacentral:rRNA from 1 species
UACGGAGGGUGCAAGCGUUGUUCGGAAUUAUUGGGCGUAAAGCGCGUGUAGGCGGCUUUGCAAGUCGGGUGUGAAAGCCCUCAGCUUAACUGAGGAAGUGCGCCCGAAACUGCAGAGCUUGAGUACCGGAGAGGGUGGCGGAAUUCCCCAAGUAGAGGUGAAAUUCGUAGAUAUGGGGAGGAACACCGGUGGCGAAGGCGGCCACCUGGACGGAUACUGACGCUGAGACGCGAAAGCGUGGGUAGCAAACAGG